rnacentral:rRNA from 1 species
AUUGAACGCUGGCGGCAGGCCUAACACAUGCAAGUCGAACGGUAACAGGAAACAGCUUGCUGUUUCGCUGACGAGUGGCGGACGGGUGAGUAAUGUCUGGGAAACUGCCUGAUGGAGGGGGAUAACUACUGGAAACGGUAGCUAAUACCGCAUAACGUCGCAAGACCAAAGAGGGGGACCUUCGGGCCUCUUGCCAUCGGAUGUGCCCAGAUGGGAUUAGCUAGUAGGUGGGGUAACGGCUCACCUAGGCGACGAUCCCUAGCUGGUCUGAGAGGAUGACCAGCCACACUGGAACUGAGACACGGUCCAGACUCCUACGGGAGGCAGCAGUGGGGAAUAUUGCACAAUGGGCGCAAGCCUGAUGCAGCCAUGCCGCGUGUAUGAAGAAGGCCUUCGGGUUGUAAAGUACUUUCAGCGGGGAGGAAGGGAGUAAAGUUAAUACCUUUGCUCAUUGACGUUACCCGCAGAAGAAGCACCGGCUAACUCCGUGCCAGCAGCCGCGGUGAUACGGAGGGUGCAAGCGUUAAUCGGAAUUACCGGGCGUAAAGCGCACGCAGGCGGUUUGUUAAGUCAGAUGUGAAAUCCCCGGGCUCAACCUGGGAACUGCAUCUGAUACUGGCAAGCUUGAGUCUCGUAGAGGGGGGUAGAAUUCCAGGUGUAGCGGUGAAAUGCGUAGAGGUCUGGAGGAAUACCGGUGGCGAAGGCGGCCCCCUGGACGAAGACUGACGCUCAGGUGCGAAAGCGUGGGGAGCAAACAGG